UACGUAGGGGGCUAGCGUUGUCCGGAAUCAUUGGGCGUAAAGAGCGUGUAGGCGGCCCGGUAAGUCCGCUGUGAAAGUCGGGGGCUCAACCCUCGAAUGCCGGUGGAUACUGUCGGGCUAGAGUGCGGAAGAGGCGAGUGGAAUUCCUGGUGUAGCGGUGAAAUGCGCAGAUAUCAGGAGGAACACCGAUUGCGAAGGCAGCUUACUACCCGAAUAUUGACACUGAGGCACGAAAGCGUGGGGAUCAAACAGG
rnacentral:rRNA from 1 species